rnacentral:rRNA from 1 species
CCUACGGGAGGCUGCAGUGAGGAAUAUUGGUCAAUGGACGAGAGUCUGAACCAGCCAAGUAGCGUGAAGGAUGACUGCCCUAUGGGUUGUAAACUUCUUUUAUAUGGGAAUAAAAUGUUCCACGUGUGGGAUUUUGUAUGUACCAUAUGAAUAAGGAUCGGCUAACUCCGUGCCAGCAGCCGCGGUAAUACGGAGGAUCCGAGCGUUAUCCGGAUUUAUUGGGUUUAAAGGGAGCGUAGGUGGAUUGUUAAGUCAGUUGUGAAAGUUUGCGGCUCGACCGUAAAAUUGCAGUUGAAACUGGCAGUCUUGAGUACAGUAGAGGUGGGCGGAAUUCGUGGUGUAGCGGUGAAAUGCUUAGAUAGCACGAAGAACUCCGAUUGCGAAGGCAGUUCACUGGACUGCAACUGACACUGAGGCUCGAAAGUGUGGGUAUCAAACAGGAUUAGAUACCCUUGUAGUC